CUGCGGCCGCUACACAUGCAGUCGAACGAAGUACAUACUUAGUGGCAGACGGGUGAGUAACAUGUGGGUAUCUGCCCUUUGGCCUGGAAUAACACGAGGAAACUUGUGCUAAUACCGGAUAAGUCUUUACGGAGAAAGCUUUAUGCACCAUUGGAUGAGCCCGCACUUGAUUAGUUUGUUGGUGGGGUAAUGGCCUACCAAGACUGUGAUCAAUAGCUGAUUUGAGAGGAUGAUCAGCCACAUUGGGACUGAGACACGGCCCAAACUCCUACGGGAGGCAGCAGUGGGGAAUCUUGCACAAAUGGAGGAAACUCUGAUGCAGCGAUGCCGCGUGAGUGAAGAAGGCCCUUGGGUUGUAAAAGCUCUUUCGUCGGGGAAGAAGAUGACUGUUACCCCGAAUAAGAAGGUCCGGCUAGACUUCGUGCCAGCAGCCGCGGGUAAUAACGAAGGGGACCUAGCGUAGUUUCGGAACUUACUGGGGCUUAAAGGAGUUCGUAGAGUGGUUGAACAAAAUUAGUGGUGAAAUCCCAGAGAUUAACUCUGGGAACUUGCGCCUUAAACCUUUUCACGCCUAGAGUAUUCUAAAGGAGAGCCGAACUUCUACU
rnacentral:rRNA from 1 species